rnacentral:rRNA from 1 species
UACGAAGGGAGCUAGCGUUGUUCGGAAUCACUGGGCGUAAAGCGCACGUAGGCGGAUGUGUCAGUCAGGGGUGAAAUCCCGGAGCUCAACUUCGGAACUGCCUUUGAUACAGCACGUCUUGAGUCCGAUAGAGGUGGGUGGAAUUCCUAGUGUAGAGGUGAAAUUCGUAGAUAUUCGCAAGAACACCAGUGGCGAAGGCGGCUCACUGGCCCGGUACUGGCGCUGAGGUGCGAAAGCGUGGGGAGCAAACAGG